rnacentral:rRNA from 1 species
UAGAUGCGAUGUGGGGACGGAGAAGGUUAGGUCAGCCAUCUGUUGGAAUAGGUGGUCUAAGCGUGUAGGCGUGCCCCUUAGGCAAAUCCGGGGGGCUAAGCUGAGGCGUGACGACGAGGCACUACGGUGCUGAAGUGAUUAAUACCAAGCUUCCAGGAAAAGCCACUAAGCUUCAGUCUAGAGUCGACCGUACCGCAAACCGACACAGGUGGGCAGGAUGAAAAUUCCAAGGCGCUUGAGAGAACUCAGGAGAAGGAACUCGGCAAAUUGACACCGUAACUUCGGGAGAAGGUGUGCCCCGGUAGGUUGUAGAGCCUCGCGCUCGAAGGCCGAUGGGGUUGCAGUGAAAUGGUGGCUGCGACUGUUUAAUAAAAACACAGCACUCUGCAAACACGAAAGUGGACGUAUAGGGUGUGACGCCUGCCCGGUGCUGGAAGAUUAAAUGAUGGGGUGCAAGCUCUUGAUUGAAGUCCCAGUAAACGGCGGCCGUAACUAUAACGGUCCUAAGGUAGCGAGAUUCCUUGUCGGGUAAGUUCCGACCUGCACGAAUGGCGUAACGAUGGCCACACUGUCUCCUCCUGAGACUCAGCGAAGUUGAAAUGUUUGUGAAGAUGCAAUCUCCCCGCGGCAAGACGGAAAGACCCCAUGAACCUUUACUGCAGCUUUGCAUUGGACUUUGAACCGGUUUGUGUAGGAUAGGUGGGAGACUGUGAAACCGGGACGCUAGUCUCGGUGGAGUCGUCCUUGAAAUACCACCCUGAUUUGUUUGAGGUUCUAACCUAGGCCAGUGAAUCCUGGCCGGGGACCGUGCAUGGUAGGCAGUUUGACUGGGGCGGUCUCCUCCCAAAAGGUAACGGAGGAGUACGAAGGUACGCUUAGGGCGGUCGGACAUCGCCCAUAAAGUGCAAUGGCAAAAGCGUGCUUGACUGCGAGACCCACAAGUCGAGCAGGUGCGAAAGCAGGUCAUAGUGAUCCGGUGGUUCUGUAUGGAAGGGCCAUCGCUCAACGGAUAAAAGGUACUCUGGGGAUAACAGGCUGAUACCGCCCAAGAGUUCAUAUCGACGGCGGUGUUUGGCACCUCGAUGUCGGCUCAUCUCAUCCUGGGGCUGUAGCCGGUCCCAAGGGUAUGGCUGUUCGCCAUUUAAAGAGGUACGUGAGCUGGGUCUAAAACGUCGUGAGACAGUUUGGUCCCUAUCUGCCGUGGGCGCUGGAAAUUUGAAGGGGGCUGCUCCUAGUACGAGAGGACCGGAGUGGACGAACCUCUGGUGUACCGGUUAUGACGCCAGUCGUAUCGCCGGGUAGCUAUGUUCGGAAGAGAUAAACGCUGAAAGCAUCUAAGCGUGAAACUCGCCUUAAGAUGAGAUUUCCCGGAGUCUUGAACUC